rnacentral:rRNA from 1 species
GACGAACGCUGGCGGCGUGCCUAAUACAUGCAAGUAGAACGCUGAAGGAGGAGCUUGCUUCUCUGGAUGAGUUGCGAACGGGUGAGUAACGCGUAGGUAACCUGCCUGGUAGCGGGGGAUAACUAUUGGAAACGAUAGCUAAUACCGCAUAAGAGUAGAUGUUGCAUGACAUUUGCUUAAAAGGUGCAAUUGCAUCACUACCAGAUGGACCUGCGUUGUAUUAGCUAGUUGGUGGGGUAACGGCGCAACAAGGCGACGAUACAUAGCCGACCUGAGAGGGGGGUCGGCCACACUGGGCCUGAGACACGGCCCAGACUCCUACGGGAGGCAGCAGUAGGGAAUCUUCGGCAAUGGACGGAAGGCUGACCGAGCAACGCCGCGUGAGUGAAGAAGGUUUUCGGAUCGUAAAGCUCUGUUGUAAGAGAAGAACGAGUGUGAGAGUGGAAAGUUCACACUGUGACGGUAUCUUACCAGAAAGGGACGGCUAACUACGUG